rnacentral:rRNA from 1 species
UGGGGAAUAUUGGACAAUGGGCGCAAGCCUGAUCCAGCCAUGCCGCGUGAGUGAUGAAGGCCCUAGGGUUGUAAAGCUCUUUCACCGGUGAAGAUAAUGACGGUAACCGGAGAAGAAGCCCCGGCUAACUUCGUGCCAGCAGCCGCGGUAAUACGAAGGGGGCUAGCGUUGUUCGGAUUUACUGGGCGUAAAGCGCACGUAGGCGGACUUUUAAGUCAGGGGUGAAAUCCCGGGGCUCAACCCCGGAACUGCCUUGGAUACUGGAAGUCUUGAGUAUGGGAGAGGUGAGGGGAAUUCCGAGUGUAGAGGGGAAAUUCGUAGGUAGUCGGGGGAACACCAGUGGCGAGGGCGGCUCACUGGACCAUUACUGACGCUGAGGUGCGAAAGCGUGGGGAGCAAACAGG